UGGAGAGCAGCCCGGAAUCAUAUGUGUUUAAGUCUUUGUAUUAUUAAGAAAUUUUGGAGUCCUUCCGUCUCUUUAUAUUGCGAUAUGGGUCAGUAAGUAGCGAAGGUAUAAAUAAGAAAAACAGACUUACAAAAAAUUUGACGAUAAUUAUAUUACCAAACCUGGAAAAACUAGUUCUUUUGGAAUUAUUUCCAACAUACUGCAAAGUUGCCAUCAGUCUUUCACAUCAGAAGACAGGAAUAAUGACAGAAAUGACGAAUAUAUUUUGAGCCAUUCGGGCCCUACAGUGAGUGCUUCGAGGCGUCAAACUAUGGAACAAGGGGAAAUUCGACGCAUUAAUAGAAGUUUGUUGCUCGGGACAGCUGAAUGCCGUUGCAUUAGAGGCUCGGUCUCUGAAACAUUGCCCAUGCCGCUUGCCGAUUUCCUUCCCCAAAAGGGAUGCCGGCUUGACUUUCAAACGUGACAAACCGUAUAAAUCGUGGACAUCGACCAUUUCCCAGCAUCGGUAUCUGUCCUGCUUAGCAACCGGAGCUCCCGUUCGUAAAGCAACAGCGACUCGUAGCCCAGAAUCGCUGCAAUAUUUACGUGCUAAAGAUGUGCAAGUCUACAUGCAGUACGAGAAAAGGCAAAUCCAUGCACGUGCGCUCAAAACUGGUGGAUCAGAAUCUACGAGUAGCUCUAUGGGUCCUAAGUACUCGCCUCUUCAACGGCGAGGAGGCGUACGUGCUUCAAUAUACUACAGAAGUAUAUGAUAUGCAUAACAUUAAAACAAGGAUUCCUUCUGGACUUUCCACACAACUUCGCAUCAAAUGCCUAUGGUGCAAUUGUGGUGUGUACCCAUGCGAUUCCAGAAUAAUUGCCAACGACCUAAUCAUAUCACAUGUAUUUUGCAUCCUUGUCCUUGGCUUGCCGGAGUCCUUCUUCAAUACCGGUCAUAAUCAGGGUGAGCACGGCAUCCCAAGCUUCGAUAUCAAAUUCCGGUCCGCAAACUUUGACAAACAGUUCGUUGAGGUCAUGUUGGAGCGCUUGGAAGUUUUCCGGGGCCAAACCACGGGAUCGAUGAUUCGCGCCUUGGCGCAAGAGCUCUCCUAUUAGUUUUGGAGGGCUAUCCAGCAUACUUAAGAGCUCACCGAGUUUUCUUAAAACUAUCGUCCCAAAAGCUUUAAGACGCGGUGUCUGGCUGAGUCGUGCCAUAUCCGAUGGUUUGAGAAAAGGGAAUAACGGCAGCCA